rnacentral:lncRNA from 1 species
GGAAUCCGGGGGGUUCACCCGCCUGGGCCGCCGGCUUGCAGGGAUCCCGCCGAAGCCUGUCGCCCCCAGAGCACCGGUUCUCAUCUCGGGAACCCCAGGCCGGAGAAGGAAAUUUUGUGCCUUGAAUAAUGAAUCCCCCUGGAGCCCACGGUACCUGUACUUCUCUUUAGUGUCCACUGAGAAUAACGUGUUCGACAUUCAAGUGACAACACUGGAAAGCAUUUCAAAGCCCUGGAGCCCCAGAACGCUGUACACCCCGACGGCUCUUCUGCCUGCCCUCUCUUUGGCUUCCAAAUGCAGCAAGCUCUUUCUUUACUUAAAAUGUGU